rnacentral:lncRNA from 1 species
CGCAGAAAAAUAUUUAGAAUAAUUUAGUUUAAAUAUUUAAAAUUAAUCAUGGUGUUCUACCUUGUUCAUCGGGGGGAAACAACUGAGGGUGAGGAAUUGCAAGCGAUGAAACACAUUCGGAUGAGCUCGUAGAGAUGAGCGGCUCUUAUGGGAAACAGCGGACGAAGAUUACGGUGCUAAGAUAAAGUAGUCUUGAAGAUCUACCAAGAGAAGUUGAAGAAACAGGAUCGCAGAUUGUCGAACACAUGAUUGGAGCCUCAGACAGCCAGAAGUUUUUCUUCAAGAUCUGAAAGAUUCGGACGGUAAUUCCAAAACUAAAUGAGAUCCUCAUUGGCUCCUGAAGUGCGAAGAACAUCAAACGACGGCAACAGAGAUGAAAGCGAAAAGAAUUAUGGAAAUGUGAUCGCAUUAAUCGGCUCCGUGAAUAGUCUGGAGAUUAUAUCCACAGGUUCCUAUCAGGAUGCGAAGCGGUUAGAUCUUCGCCCAAUCAUAGCAUCACCGGUCAUGGCGUUGGAGCUACAGGUGACGUGGCUUGGGCGGCAAGAAAUCCCUGAACAACUGCAAAAUCGAGGUUAUCCCGGCAGGACGGUGGAGAAUCCCUCAGCGACCCAUUUCAUAAUCACGCACGCAGAAGAGCGAACGCCGACCGAUUGUGAUCCUCUCUCCACACCGCGAAAUGAAACCCUAGAAGGGAGAAAGAGAGCAGACGGAAGAGGUCUCGCAACAUUCCCGCUCCUACUCGACUUCUAGGGUUUUAAACCUCGGCGGGAAGAGAAGAACGGCACGGAGAAACACAGAUCUGCGUCAAGUGUCAUACGGCACUUCCUAUCAAUGGUCUUGCUUCUUCACCGGGAUCUAAUCAGAGCUCCUACCGGGAACAAAUCAGAAAACAAGACGAUCUAUGGCAGAAACGCGAAUGGCAAACAAGCAGGACUGAAAAAACGAUGAAACGGAAGCAUAGAUCCAGAUAAAUAAUUUCAGCCAGGGAAUGACGAAGAAACCGAAGCAGGAUCGAGUUCCUGUACGCAAGAAGAGAGCGAUGCCGAUUGAUAAGAGGCAACCAGAUCGAUCCCAUUCCUCGAACGAACGACUCCGGUAAGCAUCGGACGCCUCCGCAUCGGCGUCAUCCCUUCCGCGUCGAAGAAGACAGAGAGGAGGAGGUCCUGUGCCCUCAUCGCGGCUCCAUUUUUAAAGGCGGUCUCCACGCCGCCGCCCGCUG